UACGAAGGUCCCAAGCGUUAUCCGGAUUUAUUGGGUUUAAAGGGUGCGUAGGCGGACUAUUAAGUCAGUGGUGAAAGCCCCAGGCCCAACCUGGGAAUUGCCAUUGAUACUGCGGACCUAGAAUAUAGAUGAUGUUGGCGGAAUAUGACAUGUAGCGGUGAAAUGCAUAGAUAUGUCAUAGAACACCGAUUGCGAAGGCAGCUGACAAAACUAUUAUUGACGCUGAUGCACGAAAGUGCGGGGAUCAAACAGG
rnacentral:rRNA from 1 species